rnacentral:rRNA from 1 species
AGCGAACGCUGGCGGCAGGCCUAACACAUGCAAGUCGAACGAAGUCUUCGGACUUAGUGGCGGACGGGUGAGUAACACGUGGGAACGUGCCUUUAGGUUCGGAAUAACUCAGGGAAACUUGUGCUAAUACCGAAUGUGCCCUUCGGGGGAAAGAUUUAUCGCCUUUAGAGCGGCCCGCGUCUGAUUAGCUAGUUGGUGAGGUAAAGGCUCACCAAGGCUACGAUCAGUAGCUGGUCUGAGAGGAUGACCAGCCACAUUGGGACUGAGACACGGCCCAAACUCCUACGGGAGGCAGCAGUGGGGAAUCUUGCGCAAUGGGCGAAAGCCUGACGCAGCCAUGCCGCGUGGAUGAUGAAGGUCUUAGGAUUGUAAAAUCCUUCCACCGGUGAAGAUAAUGACUGUAGCCGGAGAAGAAGCCCCGGCUAACUUCGUGCCAGCAGCCGCGGUAAUAC